rnacentral:rRNA from 1 species
GGAUGAACGCUAGCUACAGGCUUAACACAUGCAAGUCGAGGGGCAGCAUGGUCUUAGCUUGCUAAGGCCGAUGGCGACCGGCGCACGGGUGAGUAACACGUAUCCAACCUGCCGUCUACUCUUGGACAGCCUUCUGAAAGGAAGAUUAAUACAAGAUGGCAUCAUGAGUCCGCAUGUUCACAUGAUUAAAGGUAUUCCGGUAGACGAUGGGGAUGCGUUCCAUUAGAUAGUAGGCGGGGUAACGGCCCACCUAGUCUUCGAUGGAUAGGGGUUCUGAGAGGAAGGUCCCCCACAUUGGAACUGAGACACGGUCCAAACUCCUACGGGAGGCAGCAGUGAGGAAUAUUGGUCAAUGGGCGAGAGCCUGAACCAGCCAAGUAGCGUGAAGGAUGACUGCCCUAUGGGUUGUAAACUUCUUUUAUAAAGGAAUAAAGUCGGGUAUGCAUACCCGUUUGCAUGUACUUUAUGAAUAAGGAUCGGCUAACUCCGUGCCAGCAGCCGCGGUAAUACGGAGGAUCCGAGCGUUAUCCGGAUUUAUUGGGUUUAAAGGGAGCGUAGAUGGAUGUUUAAGUCAGUUGUGAAAGUUUGCGGCUCAACCGUAAAAUUGCAGUUGAUACUGGAUAUCUUGAGUGCAGUUGAGGCAGGCGGAAUUCGUGGUGUAGCGGUGAAAUGCUUAGAUAUCACGAAGAACUCCGAUUGCGAAGGCAGCCUGCUAAGCUGCAACUGACAUUGAGGCUCGAAAGUGUGGGUAUCAAACAGGAUUAGAUACCCUGGUAGUCCACACGGUAAACGAUGAAUACUCGCUGUUUGCGAUAUACAGCAAGCGGCCAAGCGAAAGCGUUAAGUAUUCCACCUGGGGAGUACGCCGGCAACGGUGAAACUCAAAGGAAUUGACGGGGGCCCGCACAAGCGGAGGAACAUGUGGUUUAAUUCGAUGAUACGCGAGGAACCUUACCCGGGCUUAAAUUGCAGAUGAAUUACGGUGAAAGCCGUAAGCCGCAAGGCAUCUGUGAAGGUGCUGCAUGGUUGUCGUCAGCUCGUGCCGUGAGGUGUCGGCUUAAGUGCCAUAACGAGCGCAACCCUUGUUGUCAGUUACUAACAGGUUCCGCUGAGGACUCUGACAAGACUGCCAUCGUAAGAUGUGAGGAAGGUGGGGAUGACGUCAAAUCAGCACGGCCCUUACGUCCGGGGCUACACACGUGUUACAAUGGGGGGGUACAGAGGGCCGCUACCACGCGAGUGGAUGCCAAUCCCAAAAACCUCUCUCAGUUCGGACUGGAGUCUGCAACCCGACUCCACGAAGCUGGAUUCGCUAGUAAUCGCGCAUCAGCCACGGCGCGGUGAAUACGUUCCCGGGCCUUGUACACACCGCCCGUCAAGCCAUGGGAGCCGGGGGUACCUGAAGUGCGUAACCGCGAGGAGCGCCCUAGGGUAAAACUGGU